UGGAUUUCUGUUAAUAAUUUAUAUAACAUAUUUAGAAGAAUAUUUAUAAAAUAUAAACAUAAUUCAUAUUACUAUUUUUUUUUUAAGUAUAUGAAAUUUUACUUUGAGAAAAUUAGAGUGCUUAAAGCAGGCAUAUGCCUUGCAUACUCCAGCAUGGAAAAAUAUAAAAGAUUUUUAUCUUUUUUAUUGGUUCUAAGGUAUGAAAAAAGAUUAAUAGGGACAGUUGGGGGCAUUUGUAUUUUACAGUCAGAGGUGAAA
rnacentral:rRNA from 1 species